rnacentral:rRNA from 1 species
GACGUAGGUGGCGAACGUUAUCCGGAAUUAUUGGGCGUAAAGGGUGCGUAGAUGGCCUGACAAGUUAGCAGUGGGAGAUCGAGGCUCAACCUCGUGGAAACUGAUAAUACUGUCUGGCUCGAGUACAGGAGAGGUUAACGGAACUCCAUGUGGAGCGGUAAAAUGUGUAGAUAUAUGGAAGAACACCAAUAACGGCGAAGGCAGUUAACUAUUCUGUUACUGACAUUGAGGCACGAAAGCGUGGGGAGCAAAACGG